rnacentral:rRNA from 1 species
ACACUGUACGAGUUUGAUCAUGGCUCAGAUUGAACGCUGGCGGCAGGCUUAACACAUGCAAGUCGAACGGAACCUUCGGGUUUAGUGGCGAACGGGUGAGUAAUACCUAGGAAUCUGCCUAUUAGUGGGGGAUAACGGCUCGAAAGGGUCGCUAAUACCGCAUACGUCCUACGGGAGAAAGAGGGGGAUCUUCGGACCUCUUGCUAAUAGAUGAGCCUAGGCCGGAUUAGCUAGUUGGUAGGGUAAAGGCCUACCAAGGCGACGAUCCGUAGCUGGUCUGAGAGGAUGAUCAGCCACACUGGAACUGAGACACGGUCCAGACUCCUACGGGAGGCAGCAGUGGGGAAUAUUGGACAAUGGGGGCAACCCUGAUCCAGCCAUGCCGCGUGUGUGAAGAAGGCCUUCGGGUUGUAAAGCACUUUAAGCGAGGAGGAAGGUCUUUGAACUAAUAUUUCAAAGAAUUGACGUUACUCGCAGAAUAAGCACCGGCUAACUCUGUG